AGUGAACGCUGGCGGUAGGCCUAACACGUGCCAGUCGAACGGCAGCACAGUAAGAGCUUGCUCUUACGGGUGGCGAGUGGCGGACGGGUGAGGAAUACAUCGGAAUCUACUUUUUCGUGGGGGAUAACGUAGGGAAACUUACGCUAAUACCGCAUACGACCUACGGGUGAAAGCAGGGGAUCUUCGGACCUUGCGCGAUUGAAUGAGCCGAUGUCGGAUUAGCUAGUUGGCGGGGUAAAGGCCCACCAAGGCGACGAUCCGUAGCUGGUCUGAGAGGAUGAUCAGCCACACGGGAACUGAGACACGGUCCAGACUCCUACGGGAGGCAGCAGUGGGGAAUAUUGGACAAUGGGCGCAAGCCUGAUCCAGCCAUACCGCGUGGGUGAAGAAGGCCUUCGGGUUGUAAAGCCCUUUUGUUGGGAAAGAAAAGCAGCAGGUUAAUACCCCGCUGUUCUGACGGUACCCAAAGAAUAAGCACCGGCUAACUUCGUG
rnacentral:rRNA from 1 species